rnacentral:lncRNA from 1 species
AUAAAACUAAAUUGAAUUGAAUUAAAAUUGAAUAUUCAACUGUCUUUAGAAAUAUGUCAGACUGAGCCAGUGAAGUAUAUUUUUCAUUUGUACAUUACAAAUGAAUGUAUUGUUUUGUAUAUAAAAGUCAGCAGGCCCAUUACAAACACAAUUUCAACCUUUAAAAGAAAUUUUAAUCUGACAACUUCCGGUGGAAUUUAAUACGUUUUCAAGCCCUUCGACUGUCACGUGGCUGAUUAUCUCAACUUCGUAGUGGUUCGUAAGUUUCUAAGUUUCAUGGAGUGGGACGAGUCGGUAAACUGUAACGAUAACUGCAUAAUAACAAGCUAGACGCUAACAGCUGAUUGUUUGGCGGACAUGAAACAACAUGAAACAGCAGGAGCAGGUGGAAUGGACCGACCUGAAUAAACUGCUCCAGCACCAUGGCUUUAAACCGGUUCAGUUUGCAGAUCCCGUCCAGAAUAAGAACCUUUCAGGUGAGUCUCAUUGGUGAAUGAUAAUACAGUAGAAAGAGUAAUGGAAAAAGUGUUUCUUACUUAUGGCGUUAUUAUAUAAUUUAUGACUUAUGUUCUGCAAUUAAUAUCUUGUGUUUUGUCUUACAUCUGUUUUAUAUAUUUGACAUUUCACCUAGAUUGUUCAAUGGUUGUCUCACGCCAGUGAUGCAGGUGUGAGAAUGUAAACAUCUCCACACACACAGCGACAGGGAUGAGAAGGUGCAUGUGCUGU